GAGGGUCAUAUGAUGAAUAGUUGCAUAGUUCAGAUGAUAAAUACUGUGAUUAUCACUUUAUACUUCUUUCGCUCCUAUCUGAUGACUCUC